rnacentral:rRNA from 1 species
AACGAACGCUGGCGGCAGGCUUAACACAUGCAAGUCGAACGCCCCGCAAGGGGAGUGGCAGACGGGUGAGUAACGCGUGGGAAUCUACCCAUCCCUACGGAACAACUCCGGGAAACUGGAGCUAAUACCGUAUACGCCCUACGGGGGAAAGAUUUAUCGGGGAUGGAUGAGCCCGCGUUGGAUUAGCUAGUUGGUGGGGUAAAGGCCUACCAAGGCGACGAUCCAUAGCUGGUCUGAGAGGAUGAUCAGCCACAUUGGGACUGAGACACGGCCCAAACUCCUACGGGAGGCAGCAGUGGGGAAUAUUGGACAAUGGGCGCAAGCUUGAUCCAGCCAUGCCGCGUGAGUGAUGAAGGUCUUAGGAUUGUAAAGCUCUUUCACCGGUGAAGAUAAUGACGGUAACCGGAGAAGAAGCCCCGGCUAACUUCGUGCCAGCAGCCGCUGUAACAC